rnacentral:rRNA from 1 species
UUUGGGGUUCGGGGCUUCGCUUGCGCAGGAUAGGUGGGAGGCUGUGAAGAUUCCUUGUGGGGGAUUCUGAGCCAUCCGUGAGAUACCACUCUGGCGAGGCUAGAAUUCUAACCUUUUCCCGUUAUCCGGGAAAGAGACAGUUUCAGGGGGGCAGUUUGACUGGGGCGGUCGCCUCCUAAAUGGUAACGGAGGCGCGCAAGGGUUCCCUCAGGCUGGUUGGAAAUCAGCCGUAGAGUGCAAAGGCAUAAGGGAGCUUGACUGCAAGACCUACAAGUCGAGCAGGGACGAAAGUCGGCCUUAGUGAUCCGACGGUACUGCGUGGAAAGGCCGUCGCUCAACGGAUAAAAGUUACUCUAGGGAAAAAAGGCUGAAG